AUGUUUGCAGCUGUGUUCCUGUUGUCAGUAGUGGGAUGUGUGAAGUGUGAACUGCUGACUCAGCCGGCCUCUGUGACUGUGCAGCCAGGUCAUCGUCUGACCCUCAGCUGUCAGGUCUCUUAUUCUGUGAGCAGCUAUUGGACAAACUGGCUCAGACAACCUGCUGGGAAAGCACUGGAGUGGAUUGGAUAUGCAAAAGUUGGAGAAUCAUCAGGCUACCAAGAGUCACUUAAAAACAAGUUCAGCAUUUCUGCAGACUCUACCAGCAACACGGUGACUCUGAAUGGACAGAACAUGCAGCCUGAAGACUCUGCUGUGUAUUAUUGUGCCAGAUACCACAGUGACACAAACAUCAGCAGACCUGAACAAAAACCUCUCAGAGCCUGA